rnacentral:tRNA from 1 species
GGCUGGUUAGCUCAGUGGGUUGAGCACAGUGCUGACAACAAUGACAACACUGAGGUUGCGGGUUCGAUACCUGCUUGGCCC